rnacentral:rRNA from 1 species
CCUACGGGGGGCAGCAGUGAGGAAUAUUGGUCAAUGGACGAGCGUCUGAACCAGCCAAGUAGCGUGAAGGAUGACUGCCCUAUGGGUUGUAAACUUCUUUUAUAUGGGAAUAAAAUGUUCCAAGUGUGGGAUUUUGUAUGUACCAUAUGAAUAAGGAUCGGCUAACUCCGUGCCAGCAGCCGCGGUAAUACGGAGGAUCCGAGCGUUAUCCGGAUUUAUUGGGUUUAAAGGGAGCGUAGGUGGAUUGUUAAGUCAGUUGUGAAAGUUUGCGGCUCAACCGUAAAAUUGCAGUUGAAACUGGCAGUCUUGAGUACAGUAGAGGUGGGCGGAAUUCGUGGUGUAGCGGUGAAAUGCUUAGAUAUCACGAAGAACUCCGAUUGCGAAGGCAGUUCACUGGACUGCAACUGACACUGAGGCUCGAAAGUGUGGGUAUCAAACAGGAUUAGAUACCCUAGUAGUC